GACGAACGCUGGCGGCGUGCUUAACACAUGCAAGUCGAACGGUGAAGGGGUCUGCUUUUGUGGGCCCUGGAUGAGUGGCGAACGGGUGAGUAACACGUGAGUAACCUGCCCCCUUCUUCUGGAUAACCGCAUGAAAGUGUGGCUAAUACGGGAUAUUCUGGGUCUGUCGCAUGAUGGGUCUGGGAAAGAUUGCGCCUUUGGGUGUUUUUGGUGGGGGAUGGGCUCGCGGCCUAUCAGCUUGUUGGUGGGGUGAUGGCCUACCAAGGCGGUGACGGGUAGCCGGCCUGGGAGGUUGGUCGGUCGCACUGGAACUGGGACACGGCCCAGACUCCUACGGGAGGCAGCAGUGGGGAAUAGGACGCAGUGGGCGCAAGCCUGAUGCAGCGGCGCCGCGUGAGGGAUGGAGGCCUUGGGUGUGUAAACCUCUUUCGCGAGUGAAACAGGCCUGCUCCUUGUGGGUGGGUUGACGGUAGCUGGAUAAGAAGCGCCGGCUAACUACGUG
rnacentral:rRNA from 1 species